GAGUUGUCGGGAACCUGGGCAUGCGCAGAGAACACCGGGCGCAAGGACCGCUCUGGGAGGACGCCGAAGUCAACAAGGCUAGGGGGACGCCCCCAUCCGGCUCCGCCCCCACAGGGAUUGCUCCGCCCCCACGACCAAACAACGCGAGGUCUUGAGGAGACCUGGGGACCGACAACUUUUGGGAGAGAUCGCGCGAGAACAGGGCCUCAACCUCCCCGCCCCCUUCCCCGCGUCCUUACGCUGGGGGACCGAAGAGUCGCUGAGAGGCCGUCACCCGUGGCGGAGUGCACUUGAGGUUGGAGAACUCGCUGUGAGGAACAGAGAGCUCUUGGAGUGUCUUAUGCCAGCAAAUAAGUAGUCCAGCCUGAACAUGACACACAUCAUUUCUGCCCAGAACUCAUUGGCCAGAACUUUUCACAGGGCUCAAUCUAUCUCUAAGGAGAAGAAGAAACACUAAGAAUGCGCACAAACAGAGGAAAGGCUGAAUGAGGACAUAGUAAGAAAACAUCCACAAGCCAAAAAUCAAACCUCUUGGACACCUUGAUCUCGGACUUCCAGCCUCCAAAAUUGUGAGGAAAUACAUUUCUGUUGUUUAAGCUACCUGGCCUGUGGAAUUUUUGUUAUAGCAAACUAAUAAAACAACUGUGAUAAUUUUGCCUUUUUACAUUAACAUUUUCCUCCAUUAUUGGUGGGCUAACAUUUUCUCAUUUCCUCCUACUACCACCAAAACAAACCCAACCAAAUCAAACCAAACAAAAUAAGAGAAAUCAUACCGUUUUUCCCCAGCCUGCAGUGGAAGUGGUGAGCUACUGAAGUGGUGAGAAGCAUUUCUACUUUUAGAUGGUUUUCUGCAUCUUUUGGGGCUAACGCUCCAAGGAUCCAAACCCAUUGGACCUCUCUUCUGAAAAUUUGGUAGUAUUAUCAAGAUUUUUGAAGUUUUGUUGACCCUCUUUGUUAAUUGUACACACAUUAUUUCGAUGGGUUAGAAAACAAGCGUAUGAUGUACUCAAAGUCUUUAGUAUCUUUUGAUUUUCUUUCUAUAAUAUUCUCUUUUCAAGAUAAUAAAUUGUGUCCUUAAUUAAGCUGUGCCCCUUCCUUUGUAGGAGAAUCUUGCAUAGUUUUAAGCACUUUUAAGUUUUGAUGUUAUUUAUAUUGUCCAAUUUCAGAAAACUAUAUCUUGCAUUUCAGCUUCGUUCUGCUAUUAUUUCAUUAUUUCAUUCUGCCUUCUUGUUUCAUAGGUGCCUCUUGAAUAAGAGAAAGAUUGUGUAAAUUUGGGGUCUGUCAGCCUACUUCUUGAGACCUAUCCCAGGUGGCUUUGAUAUUACCUGAAGCAAACCCAGGGUUUCCUAAAACUCAGCUUCUGUGUUUCGGACAGUGCUCUGGUAGAAGUGUCAUAAGAUCCCUGUCUCCAACCGUAUAAGCUAGUAUCAAGAAACGUGUGACCUUAUGAAAACACACUUCUGAUGGGCACAGUAGCGUAAGCUACCUCUCCAUGAUUCAAAUUUUAUAAUUGGAAUUAACAGUCCAAAAGUGGCAUUGGUGCUAAAUAGCACAAUUGUGCCAUCUGUUUCAAUGCCAUAGUUUUGGGGAUUUCUAUAUGGUAUAUUGAAAGAUUAUUUUAAGAGGUGCAGUUUAUGAUGAAAUCUUCUAAUAGUGCCUCUUUACUAAACCAACUUGAUAUUUAUAAAUGCCUGGGAAGGGGGGAAGCUACUGAAAUUGUAUCACUACCUUCAGAAAGAUUUUUAAAGGGCUUGUUUAAUAUUAAUGUUGUGUACAAUUACUUUUGAGCUCUUGCCAAGAGUGCCAGGAUAAUAUAGGAUAUGAAUAUCCCAGUGUGCCUGAAAAUUAUUUUAAUUUACAAAACCCUACUCAAGCUGCUCUUUGUAGAUUUUAAACUUGAGGGCAGAUUUUGCAAAGGAGCAGAAUAUUUGCAAAACUAUGCAAAUAUGCAUCAGAAUGUAGCCUCAGGCUUAUAGCACGUAAAAACACCUGAGAUCUCGUGGUCCAGAGGGAGACAUUACAUAAUAUUCAAAAUGACAAGAUGCUUCCAGGACUCACAGGUUUUGCAGAAGAGUUCAAAAAUGGCUAUAAGAAGGGGUGGCAUGUUGCCUAAACAGCUCUUCUUCAUGGGGUCCUCACACAUUCGCCUUUUCUCUUGGUCUCUGUGUUACUCAAUUUCUCUCUCCUGGUCUAACAUUUAACUCAGCUGCAAAAAACCCCAGCUUUCUUUAUUCUCCCUCUCUUUCCAGAUUAUACCCUGGAGACUUUAUCUUUUCCCUAAAAAGUAUAUUUUCCUAAACUAAGAGUCACCUAUUCUGAGAUGAAUUAUGUAUCUUCCAUAGUGUCAAAACACUAAACAUUUUUAA